UUGCAUGAUUAUCAUAUUUAAAUCUUUGCUUUCAACUCAAUUAAAUCAUUUGCAAAUAUGUACGACAUAGACAGUAGUUCACAAAAGUAUUUCAACAUUUGCAGAAAUCUUUUAUGAAUAUAUUAUGUAUAUUGUAAGGAAAAUUUUGCAAUUUUAUUAGCGUUUUAAUGAGAUAUGACUAUAAUGAUUAUAUUGGUAAAGUUUGAAACAAAUCUAAAAAUGUACGUCCAUACUUAAGAGCUACAAGAUAUUUAGUGCGAAUAUACAUUUCACAGAGAUUACGAAAAUAUUUAAACAGAAAAUUAUCUAUUAUAUCAAUAAACCUCAAUAUUCAGUGGAACCAUCUUUAUCAUUUAUUAUGUGUUUAAGCUGGUUAUUUAUACUGUAUACCAAUUCUUUGCUGAAUGUAUACGUUUGCAGCAAGUGCGUGUACAUAUAUUUUCAGAUUGUUUCAAAUGUUUCAUAUAAUGCAUAGAAUUUAUACAUAAAAGCUUAAUAUAGUGUCCAAAUAUGUAUUUUUAUCAGAUAUAAGUACUGCAAUGUUUUGUUUCAUAUGAUACUAGACUUGGAUAGAAAAAAUUUCCACUCGAUUCGGUUUGUACUGCAUUCUAGAAGUUUCUAAAAUGGUUAAUGAUAUGUAAUUUUCCUGUUUUUUCUUUUUCGUCGUAUAUCUCAAAGGAAACCAGCGCCGAUUAAAAAACCUCAUAACAAAAGAAUGCAUAAUGAGACAAGACUAGACUAGAACGCAGUUACUAUCUCUUAUUUCCAGUUAUUUCCUGCAUUUAAGUUAGAUAUAAUAAUACCGCUGCUUUUUUUAGAAUACCAUGUAAUCGUAAAAUUCAUGAGUUCCUGUCAGUCUUUUUGUAAAAAUGACGCGCUCGAUCAUUCCUGUACUUAAUUAUAGGGAAUGAGAUAAACCCAUCGCGAUCUAUUUGUGCGUUACGUGGAUGUAUGAACGUAUGCCUGCCAAAAUGUGGUGUUGCCAACUAUAAGAUAGAAAAUUCAUAAGAUUACAUAAUCGCGUUCCAAAGGAAAAUAGCUUCAUUUUCUACGUAAAUUCUUUAAUUGCCAAUCUGAACAAUAUUUAUCAUUCUAAAAGCAUAUUUUUUUAAGAAUAAUCUUAUAGGUUAUUUAAUCUCUAGUAUAUUAUCUAUACUUACUAUCCAAUCUUAUAUCACUAUUAUAUCUAAAUUAUUAUUAAACGUAUUUCUGUAACAAACAUAUUUGUAUGCUAACAAAAAAUACGACUGAUUCAGAAUAUUUAAGAAUAAUUGAAAAGUCGUGAAUUGCGAUCAUACGUGAUGUUACAUUAAACAAAUGGGACAACUUAAUCCCUGCAAUGUAAUUAUGUAUAUUAACAUGUGCAAUAGAUGGAUUCCGUUAUACUAAAUAGUCGAACUGUUUUAUCGACUUGACUUACAUUAUCAUUACAAUUACUCAGAAUUUCUAAGCAAAAUACUCCAAUGUUAUAAAUAUUAAGGGCAUCAUGUUGCUAAAUACUCUAUGUGUUUUAGAUAGAAUCAUAAUGAAUGGAACAACAGAACGUAUGAAAUGGAGACUAAAAUAAAUUGUACAGCAGUUAAUUCAAUGUCCUCAUCAUGAUUAAGAUCACAUCAAAGUGCAAUCCCGCACUUGGAUCAGAUUUAGCAAUUGCACUCAUGAAAAUGUAAUCAACUGUAUACAUAAUUGAUACGCGUGAUUGGUGCCAGGUGAAGGAAAAAUACAUACCGUAUAAAAAUGCUAAUGUCCUAAGAUGUUUCUUUUUUAAUGCGACAGAAUAUUCUAAAGUGACUGACACUAGUUGACGAGGAAAAGUUCAAAGAUUCGCAAAUAAUUCAACGCAUUCCAGACACUUAAAGGCGGGAAUUCAGUAAGUUUGCGCGAGAAAACGUUCAGCACGUGCGACCUACGAUUAUUCUAAUUAAAUUCUCCGGUUACAAACCAUUCCCAGGGUUCAUGAACGUGCGACUCUUAUCGAGGCCUGAAAGUGCGAUGUCGCCCUAUUUUACACGCCAUUGUUCGACGUCUUUCAUACAAAAUGAGCUUUAAAAGAGGCAAGAUCACCGGAAGGAUCCUGUCUUCGAGCCUUUGUACGCAUACAAUAUACAAUAGAAUGAAAAGCAUAUUUCAUAUCUUCGCCAACAAGUCAUCUAUUCGUGCGACUCUAUUUGGACUUUAAAAUCUUAGACAACAUUUAUAUCUUCUUUUUUAAAAAAAAGAAUAUUUCACAAUAAUACAAAGCUUAUGUUACUCAUAAAUAUCUCUUUUUCUGUCUUCAGUCUUUCAGGAAGAUACAUGUUUAUUUUGUGUCUGUCUGAACAAGAGAAUGACAUCAAUCUUUUUUGCUACGAAGUAAUUAAAUUCCAGUAUAUUUCGGAACGGAGACCUUCGGUUUUAUACGUUUAUUGUAUCACUGUUAUCAGACAAGACAAAUGUCUUCUUUCUUGUUUACGAUAUCCGCGCAGCUGCUGGCUUAAUGUGCACGCGCGAAUACUCGUGCUACUUCGCCUUAAUAACGUAACAUAAAUCGUUACAUAAAUAUAUACCAGGUUCCGAUAUAUUCGUUGUUACAGAAUUAACGAACAUCGUCAGAGGAAAGUGAAACGAGAGAGAAACUGCCAGUAUAAAUACCUAGGAUUCUGGAGAACAGUAAAUGUCCAUUGAUUUCCUUCCCAUACCACAGCUAUCGAUCCUUGCAGGAUUUAUUAUUCGGCACGUG